rnacentral:rRNA from 1 species
ACAAGCGGUGGAGCAUGUGGUUUAAUUCGACGCAACGCGAAGAACCUUACCUAGGUUUGACAUCCCGGGGAGUCUCUUGAAAGAGAGAUGUGCCUUUCGGGGAGCCCGGAGACAGGUGCUGCAUGGCUGUCGUCAGCUCGUGUCGUGAGAUGUUGGGUUAAGUCCCGCAACGAGCGCAACCCUUGUCUUUAGUUGCCAUCAUUCAGUUGGGCACUCUAAAGAGACUGCCGGUGUCAAACCGGAGGAAGGUGGGGAUGACGUCAAGUCCUCAUGGCCUUUAUGACCAGGGCUACACACGUACUACAAUGGCCGGUACAAAGGGCAGCCACUUAGCGAUAAGGAGCCAAUCCCGUAAAGCCGGUCUCAGUCCGGAUUGGAGUCUGCAACUCGACUCCAUGAAGUUGGAAUCGCUAGUAAUCGCAGAUCAGCACGCUGCGGUGAAUACGUUCCCGGGCCUU